AACGAACGCUGGCGGCAUGCCUAACACAUGCAAGUCGAACGAGAUCUUCGGGUCUAGUGGCGCACGGGUGCGUAACGCGUGGGAAUCUGCCCUUUGGUUCGGAAUAACAGUUGGAAACGACUGCUAAUACCGGAUGAUGACGAAAGUCCAAAGAUUUAUCGCCAGAGGAUGAGCCCGCGUAGGAUUAGCUAGUUGGUGUGGUAAAGGCGCACCAAGGCGACGAUCCUUAGCUGGUCUGAGAGGAUGAUCAGCCACACUGGGGCUGAGACACGGCCCAGACUCCUACGUGAGGCAGCAGUGGGGAAUAUUGGACAAUGGGCGAAAGCCUGAUCCUGCUAUGCCGCGUGAGUGAGGAAGGCCUUAGGGUUGUAAAGCUCUUUUACCCGGGAUGAUAAUGACAGUACCGGGAGAAUAAGCUCCGGCUAACUCCGUGCCAGCCGCCGCCGUAA
rnacentral:rRNA from 1 species